UAAUUGCUGUCAUGGUAGUUGCAUAUACUCCAGUCUUCCAUGUUAGGUCAUAAGUGACAGAAGCAACCUGGAGGAGUGAAAAGGAUAUGAGCUUCGGAGGCAAAUGACCCUGGGAUAAUCACUUAGCCUUCACACUCACUCUAAAACAAUUUUGAAAAAAGGAAAAUUGGAGGACUCACACUUCCUGAUUUCAAAACUUACAAUGAAGCCAUAGUAAUCCAAACAGUAGUAUAGACCAUCAAUGUAUAAGAAGCCCAGAAAUAAACCAUCAUAUAUAGGGUCACAUGACUUCCAACAAGAGUGCCAAGACCAUCCAAUGAGGAAAGAUGGUAGUUAUUGCAGUGCAACAAUGUGAGUGUACUUAAUACCAUUGAAAUGUGCACUUAAAAUCGUUCAGAUGGUACAUUUUAUGUGUAUUUUACCACAAUUUUUAAAAAUUAUUGAAGAAUAAUCAGAAGGAAAUACAAUAAAAUGUGGAAUGUUUGCCUCUAAAGUGGUACUUUUCUAUUGUUUUCCUCUUCCUGCUAAAUCCAGCCGUCAAUUCUUCUUAUUAUUACUUUUUUUGAGAUGGGAGUCUCCCUCUGUCACCCA
rnacentral:lncRNA from 1 species